rnacentral:rRNA from 1 species
GACGAACGCUGGCGGCGUGCUUAACACAUGCAAGUCGAACGGACAGGCCCUGCUUUUGUUGGUUUCUCGAUUGGCGCACGGGUGAGUAACACGUGAGUAACCUGCCCUUGACUUUCGGAUAACUUCUGGAAACUGCGGCUAAUACCGGAUAUGAUCUCCUGCUGCAUGGUGGGGGUUGGAAAGUUUCGGCGGUUGGGGAUGGACUCGCGGCUUAUCAGCUUGUUUGUCGGGUUGUUGCUUACCAAGGCUUUGACGGGUAGCCGGCCUGAGAGGGGUGCCGGCCACAAUGGGACUGAGAUACGGCCCAGACGGCUACGGGAGGCAGCAGGGGGGAAUAUUGCACAAUGGGCGGAAGCGUGAGGCAGAAACGCCGGGUGCGGGAUGACGGGCUUCGGGUGGAAAACAGCUUUCGCCGGUGACGAAGAGGGAGUGACGGUAAUGGGUAAAGAAGCACCGGCUAACUACGUG